GACAGAGGGCGCGAGCGUUGUUCGGAAUCACUGGGCGUAAAGCGCGCGCAGGCGGACCAGGCAAGUCUGGAGUGAAAUCUCGCCGCUCAACGGCGAGGCUGCUUUGGAAACUGCGGGUCUGGAGACCGGUAGAGGCUGGUAGAAUUCCAGGUGUAGCGGUGAAAUGCGUAGAUAUCUGGAGGAACACCGGUGGCGAAGGCGGCGUCCUGGACCAAUACUGACACUGAAACGCGAAAGCCAGGGGAGCAAACGGG
rnacentral:rRNA from 1 species